rnacentral:rRNA from 1 species
UUACCNGAGUACUAUGAAUAUUAAGAAUUUAAAACUCAAAGAACUUGGCGGUGUUUUAGACCACUUAGGGGAACCUGUCUCAUAAUCGAUAAUCCACGAUAUACCUGACCUUUUUUUGUUUUCAGUUUGUAUACCGUUGUCGUCAGGUAACUUUUUAGAAACUAGAAGUUAGCAACAGAAAUUAAAGAUGGUUCAGUACGUCAAAUCAAGGUGCAGCUAAUAAAAAGGGGAGGAUGGGUUACAAUUAUAAAAUUAUAAUGACGGAUAUAUAUAUGAAAUUGUAUUGAUGUAAGGUGGACUUAAAAGUAAAUUAGAAUAUAUAGAUAAUUUGAAUGAGGCUCUGAAACGUGU